UUGCUUCAGCAGCACAUAUACUAAUAUUAGAAUAAUACAGAGAAGAUUAGCAUGGCCCCUGCACAAGAAUGACAACAAAUUCUCGAAACAUUCCAUAUUUUA